AUGAGCUUGGGCAUUUUUCAGGCAGUAAACUAUGUCGUCAUGUUCUUCGACCAUGCGCCGCACCCGCUGCUGCCCUAUGUAGCUCGUUGCUGCUGCGCCCACCACCACACGCCACUCCCUGCGCCCACUGCAGCGCCCCCGCUUGCGCUGCAGCCUGCUAGCGUCCGCUGCCACCGCUCCCUGCUAGCGCUGCUAGCUGCUUGGCGCGCAUGGCCUUACCCCUGCUGUACUUCUGCCGCUAGCUACCACUACCUCCUGCUGCUGGCUGCGGCUGCUUUGCUAGCUGCUGCCGACGACGUACCUCUGCCUGCUGCCGCGCCUGGCCGCCGCAUCAAACGCCCAGCCACCACCGUCGCGCCUGCCUCUGCCCGCCGGGCGCCGAGCCGCUUCCGCCGGGGCCGCUGCUGGCCGGGGUCUCGCCCUGCUCUGCCAUCCCCUGUGCUGGGCGCUGAGGCCGCCGACGCCUCCUGUGUCAUGCGUGCCGGGCAGGCUGGCCCUAUAAGGAGCCGCGUAGAUGCUCCCGAACUCAUAAAAUUCCACCCGAACAGAAAAGGGAAAAAAUUACACCACCCCCGCUUACCUUAUCCACACUCCCGCAUCCCCAUUCUCGCGCGGAUCCUCCCCGCCGUCGACGCACUUCCAUCUCCCCCAGUCGCCGCCCGCGCGGUUCCUCUCCGGUCGCCGCUGCCGUGGUUCCUCCGCCACCCCUUCCCUUCGCCCACCUUCCCUGCAACCUCUCUCAACCCUCCCAACAACCCGCCAGCCCACCUCCGGCUGCCGCCCACCCGCCGGCUUGCCGCCGCCCUUGCCUCCUCCCGGCGCGAGGCCGCCCCGCUUCCUCCUAGCGUGCCGCCGCCCCAACUACUUCCGGUUCGAGGCCACCGCACCACCUUCUUCCGUCGCGUGGCACCCGGUCCAGACGCGCUCCACCCGCCCACCCGGUCCCUGCGCUCCUCCCGCCGGCUCCCUCCGGUCCAGACGCGCUUCCCACUGCCGCCCGAGGCCACCGCGCCCCACCCCGUAGCCAUCCUCGACCCUCGUCCCUGCCGUGCCCGUCAGCGAGAAUGGGGAAGUAGCUCCGGUGGCUUCUCUUCAGUCCAUGAACGAGGUUGCUCAGUGGGAUGCACGAGCUGGGGAGGCUGCAGUUCGGCGACGCGUACACACAGUUCGUCGUUUGCCUGUGGCAUCAUCCUGCUGGUCAGUGACCAACGGAGCUGGCCUGAGGCGUGGUCUUGCUCGCCGGCGCUAGGCGCAGCUCGGCUGGAAGAAUUCUCGCUUCUUCCACAGCUAGCGAGAUCAAAGGCCAUUGUCGACAAAGCUAAGCUCAAGAGUGCAACUUCAGUCGAAGAUAUGCAUUAG
rnacentral:rRNA from 1 species